UGCUUUGCAUAGUGGCAGUAUCGUAGUCAAAGAGGUUUAUCUGAGGUGUGAUUAUUGCUAACUGAAAGCUUUUCCCCAAACCCAAGGAUAUAUUUACACUAAAAUGGACAGGACAGAACUUUGU
rnacentral:snRNA from 1 species